rnacentral:lncRNA from 1 species
CUCGGUUCGGGUCAUCUGAUCGAGUUGCCGGAGGUGGGGACACGAAGGCUAAUGGUAUUAUCCCAUAAUGGAGAGAUGGGGGUCCGAAGGUAGGGACACGAAGUCAGCCAGUAUUAUCUCACAAUGGCUAGAGAGGCAAAGAUCUUUGAGCUGUGUGUAUGAUCGGUUCUGACAGGAACGUCAGAAAUUUAAGGGCAAAACUAAUAAUUUCGCCACUAUAGUUGGCAACUUUUAUUUAUUACAUCACUAAAUUUUUAAUUUUUCAAAUUACAUCACUAAACUAAUUAGAAAAAAACAAUUGGAUCAUUCUGUUAAAUAGACUUAACAUCUGUUAAACUAUUUCAUAUUUUUUUCUUAUGUGGCUGAUAAAAGAAAAAGGAAAAAAGAAAAAGAAAAGAAAAUGACAUGUCCAAAUUUGUUGCAUCAGAGGUCCACAUGUUCGUGGGACCCAGCCCUCAACCCAAAACAACACACCAUCCCAGAAAUUCCCAGAAAUUUCCGAUCACAGCCAACGGCAGACAACCACCGCCAACUAGCAGACCAUCAAAUAAGAUAAAUUGAUAGAGAACAACCAAUGAUUUUGAUACCCAAAUAAUAUCGGAUGAAUUAAACCAAAAUCUAGGGAGUGAAACAACCCAAAUCCAUAAUCAUAAAAAAUAAAAACGACUUGGGAAGAACAAAUCCGGUAACCAAAACAGUACUACCAGAUUCCGGUAAUAAACCAUAAUCAGCGAAGAACAUCCAAAUCUGAAAGAAUAAGAGAUAAAUCAUAAGCAAGGUCCCAGAUCGAAAACAUAAGAACGAGCGCCCAUCCGUGCACAACAAUACCACCAGAUCCAAACCACCUGCAAGAAUAGUUCCCUCUAGCAGACUCCGCCCCAACCGAGCUUCUAGAUCCGAGCAGACGAAUGAACAUAGCAAAAUCAGUGACCUAGGGUUUCAUCCAACGGCUCGGUCACUGUGAAGAUCAUCUCCGGCUCACCCCAAUUCGCCACCGGGUUGAGGCACGAACAGAGCUGCGAGAAUCCCCUCCCCAUCGCAUUUGAUUCAGCCACCGGCAACUCUAUUUCUAGAGAAAGAAAGUAGUAUGAGUAUAUGUAUGCUUUUAGAGAGACAAAGUUACACUGGUUUUGAUUUUGUAAUGAUUUUUAUGGAGUUAUUUUUCUUUUCCUUUUUUUUAGCAGCCACGUAGGAAACAAAUAUGAAA